rnacentral:rRNA from 1 species
CCUACGGGGGGCAGCAGUGGGGAAUAUUGCACAAUGGGCGCAAGCCUGAUGCAGCCAUGCCGCGUGUGUGAAGAAGGCCUUCGGGUUGUAAAGCACUUUCAGCGGGGAGGAAGGCGGUGAGGUUAAUAACCUCAUCGAUUGACGUUACCCGCAGAAGAAGCACCGGCUAACUCCGUGCCAGCAGCCGCGGUAAUACGGAGGGUGCAAGCGUUAAUCGGAAUUACUGGGCGUAAAGCGCACGCAGGCGGUCUGUCAAGUCGGAUGUGAAAUCCCCGGGCUCAACCUGGGAACUGCAUUCGAAACUGGCAGGCUAGAGUCUUGUAGAGGGGGGUAGAAUUCCAGGUGUAGCGGUGAAAUGCGUAGAGAUCUGGAGGAAUACCGGUGGCGAAGGCGGCCCCCUGGACAAAGACUGACGCUCAGGUGCGAAAGCGUGGGGAGCAAACAGGGUUAGAUACCCUAGUAGUC